UGGCCAGAUGAGUUUCCGUUUCUUUCUUUCACUUCUGUUAUUUUACAUUUUCUCUUCUUGGUAAUAAGUUCUUUUGUCAGUCCUCUACUACUGAAAACUACUUCUAGAAAGGAACAUGAACGCAUCACUUUUUUUACUUUUUCAAACUACACAUCAUACCCACCUGUAAACCCAAACAGAAUUGUGUGGUAUCAGUACGUCUCUAGAGGUUAUCCGUUAGUUUAUGAUCCAAGGAAUCCAAAUGAUGUUAUUUUGAAGUUCAGAGGGAAAACUGAUUUAUAUAGAACACAUAGUUGGGAUUGCAGUCUGCUGAUUAAAAACCUGGAACAGUCCCACCAUGGAGAAAAAUUAUACACAUGGAUUGACCCUGAAAAUGUUGGAAAGAGCACCUACGCAUUUUAUGAUGUCACUUCUACAAUUCAAGUUGAUGCAAGUCCACAGCAGCCCAGCCUCAGUAUUUCUGGAGGUAAAAGGAUAGGUGACACCAACACAGUAGAAUGUUCAACUUUCCACACAUGUCCAUACAGAAAACCAACCAUCACUCUGAAUGGUAUAGAAGGAUCUGAUCAAAUAGACAAUGAGCAUAUUAAAGAUGGCCUGUGGAAAAGCACUCUGACACGCACAGGUGUCGUAAAGAAAGAGCGCUUUACUAUUCAGUGUUCAGUAACACAUUAUGGUGGAACAACUGUCACAGCAACUAAGGACAAAAUUGCAGAAUGUGUUCAUCAAAAAAUAACAAUUAAGCCUGAACUGGCAGAUGUUACAGUUGGCGUUGCAAAGAACUUCACUUGUAGCGUCUACCAUUCCUGCCAGAAAGAGCCAACCAUCACAUGGAACUAUAAGAACAUGCAAAUUACAAAGUGGAGCAAAACACAUUCAGAUUUAAAUCGGGUCACCUACUCUCACAUAACCUUUCUGGGUGCAAAAGAAGACCAUGGGAAGGAAUUGAUUUGCACCGCAAAUUUUUCUGGAGGAAAAAUUACAACCUCUGUUGUUUUACGUGUACAAUGUGUCCAACAUAACAUAUCGAUUGAGCCUGAACUGGCAGAUGUCACCGAGGGCAUCCCAAAGAACUUAACUUGUAGCGUCUACCAUUCCUGCCAGAAUGAGAAUCCAAACAUCACAUGGAACUAUGAGAACAUGCAGGUCACAGAGUGGAGCAAAACACUUUCUACUUUAGAUCAGAUCAGCUAUUCUAGCAUAAGCUUUCUGGGUGCAAAAGAAGACCAUGGCAAGAAAUUGAUAUGUACAGCAAAAUUUUCUGGAAGAGAAAUUACGGCAUCUGUUGUCUUAAAUGUGCAAUACCCAUUGCUCAUUGGACUGAAGACUAUUGGUCUUUACAUCUUAACACCGUCACUUGUGUUCCUUCUGACUUGUAUACUCGCUGGAGUCAUCGUAUACAAAAAGAGACAAAGGUCAAAAGAUGCAGUGUCAGGAAACAAACCUUUCUCCAAUCCUCGAAUGCCGUCACCAAAGAGUUAUCCAAAAUCCUGCCCUGAAAAUGAUUAUGACAAUGAUUAUGAAGCUGAAUACGCCAACAUGGGUGAACUCAGCAUUUAUGGAAAUAUCUGAAGAACAUCAACAUCAAAACAAAAUGGGUUCAAAACAAUGUUUGUAAAAAUAUUAACAAUGUUUGAUUUUAUUGAUAAUAACAAAACAUGUGUCAUGCAUAUCUGCAUCUCUUUUAUAAUUACAGAUGUAUUUAGAUUUGUUAAGCAAACAGCUACUAUGAUUUAUGUUUAUGAAUUAUAUGUUUUAGCUGAUUUAAACAAAACAAAACAAAUAUUACAAAUAAAAAAAUCUACUACUUUUGUUCCUGACUAUUAAAUAUGAUUGAGUCAAUGUUAUGUUCAGACAGUGACAUUCCAAACUGAAAGUGAGGCUGCUUCUUAGAAAUGCAUUAAGGCAUUGAAACCAAAUGUUGUGCAUGUCGUCACCAUCCUGAGAGUACUUUGAACAGUAUGCAGACAGCGCCACCUAGUAGUCAGGAAAUCAUAACAAUUGCGCAUACAGAUACAGCAUAAAUUAAAUAUGGGAUCUGCCAUUGCUUUUUCUGUUUUUAUUUCAUCAUGCCAAUGUCUUACGUUUACAUUAUUAUUUACUCUAGACACGUCAUGAUAUGGGAGCGCACACAUACAGUUUGAACAGAUCAGGUCUAUGUAGCACACAAUUGUUUCAUCUAGUUUCACUCAGUUCAUGUUAUAACCUUUAAAUGUCUUAUAAAGCAGAGUACUUUAUAAAUUACAACAGUGUGAAAUGUAUACUGGGAAAAAAUAUUAUGAUCUUAUCCUACUGGAAGUUUAAGUUUAAAAACAUAAUCCAAUACAAAACAUGUGUCAGACUGUGUAGUCUGUAUUCACUUACAGGCCUACAGAUGUUUACAACCAAACACAAGUUUCCCAUUAGUAAAACAUAAAAUAUGCAUAAAAAAUAAAACAUUAAGUUCUGAUACAUUGGGUUGAAUGAGCAAAUUCUUUCAAGCAUUUUAUUAAAAAAAUAUAAUAAUUAUGUAUACAUUUUAAGUAUUUUUUGUAUUAUUAUUAUUGUAAGUGGUGUUCUUCUGGAUUUUGGUUACGAUAAAAUCAGUUUUGGUUUCGGUUUCGAUUUCCAUAAAGACUGGCUGAGCGCAGUAGACCACCAAGAUAUCGCGAGAUCUCGCUAUCACUAUUCAGCCAUGCCUUUAUUUUCUGACGGAGUUGGAACUGCAUAUCUGCAUAGCAUUUUUCAACCUCUAUAACGUGAUCAGCAGGUUUCGUUCAGGUGCAGGCAGUAACAAAUCCUCUGGUGGAAAUAUACAGAAUCUAUGCAUUUUGGAUUAUAUUUGUGGUAUAAAGAUAAACAGAUAAACAGUGAUGAUGCAGGAUAGGGACUGUCUAAAAAAACCAAGAGCAUAAACGCUCAGUUAUUCCAUCCUGAAGCUUCAUUCUAAUGAAUGAAUAAAUUAAUGAAUUAGGUAAUUAAUUAUGUAAUUAAAUAAUUAAUAAAUAAAACAAGCAAAUAGUGCACACUGAUGACUGCAAAAACACUUUAAAUGUUAGAUGGUGUAACAAUAGCCUAGAUAAUAUAUAUUUUUAAGCAUAAUAACAUACAUUUUGGGAAAAACCCAUAAUAUAUGCACAAUUUAAUGCCAAAUCCAAAAGGAAUGUAAAACUAAAAGCAGUCUUCAAAUGAGCGACAGAGUGGGCGUGGUCCAGAUGUGUCUAGUUCGAAGCUGUCAAUGAUAAUAAUUAUUGGGGAUAGCAUUCUCUUUUAUCUGCCUAAAAAUAUCUAACUGCUAAAUGAGGGGUGCUGUGCAACGUCCCUUUUAUGGCGGUGAGCUGCAGGUUGAGCUUCUUCCUUCUUUGGCUUCUUGAUUGCAGAUUCAGCGAAUAGAUGAUCCUUGUUACUGAAGGAGAAUGAUCUGAUGAAUGGUGCUCCGAGCUGACUUAUAUAGUGUUCAGCUCUGCCCUUUCUGGCUGGCUAAAACACCAUUGGUUUUUGCAGCUGCACAAACGUGAACAAAACAAUCUUCAGUACAUAGUAAAACUCGAGUUUUCCCAAAUGUGUUCCAUGCAACGGGAGAGACCGUUCGAAAGGCAACUACACAUCUUAUGUAGACUGGCUAUAGAGAAACUAAAGUAAUGUACAAUAUGUUGAAUAAUGCAGAUUUCUUUUUUCACCAUAUUAUUUAUUUUUACAAUCACUUUAUUACAAUGUGGAAAAUAUAGCAAGUUCUGAAAUAAGUUGUUGACUGACCUCUGUCUGUUUUUUUUUUAUUAUUAUUACAAUCUUUUUACAUCAAGGGUGACUAUUAUGAGGCUGUUUACAACAACAUGGACAAGUACAAUUUAUAUGAAAAUGUCUGAUGAUAACGAACAAAACAAAAUAUGUCCAGCAGCGUAUUUGUCUGUAGCAUGUAUUGACUUUAUCAAUGUUUUCCAGCAUGUAUGUGUGAGAACAUAAAGAUUAAGGAGAUGGGUCUAUAAACCUAAAUUUAAAUAUUUAAUUAAAUCUUCAUUAAUCCAUUCAGGGCUUUAAGUAAUCAGCAACAUAUUAAAAUGUAUAAGAUGUUUAAUAAGCAACCAAUGCAGUGUUAACAGAACCAAGCUAAUGUCUCAAUAAUUGUAGCUGCUGCAUAUUGGAUUGAGCCGUAGUUUGUUUAUAAAGGGAAACUACUCAGUAAAGCAUUUUAAUUAUCUAGCCUUGAAUUCAUUAAUUUAAUUUACAUUUGACAUUAAAAGCAUUUGUCAUAAUUAAAAACCCCUUUUUUUUUUUGUAAAAUGGAAAUGUGGAUUUACAAUCACUGUAAAGCUUCUUUAAAGCAAUCUGUGUUGAAUUAACUGAAUUGGUUAAGAUUUGUCUUUGCACGUUGAACAGAAAACAUAAUAAAAUUCACAGCAUCACACAUUCUAGUGUAACAGAGGCCAGCUACUAAGAGCAGUGUGGUUAAACCCCACUUCCCUGAUCUCAAGAAGCACACUAGUGACCAAGGCUCGAGGCUGCAGUCUUUAGCAGCCUUGUUAGCGCACCUAACUUCCAUGCCAGAAACGCCUGUACAAAUUAGAUUAUCUCAAUGUGUAUGAAAAGUUCUUAUGAGUCAAACAAGGAUUUUUGUUUUAAUGUUCAAAAUAAAUAUACAGAAGAUUGCAAAAUCUGAAAUAUAGUCAUUUUUUUUCUUUUUUUUUUUUGUAACAUGUAUUGACUUUAUUGAUUGUAUUAAAGUUGUUUCUAUAUGCAUCACAUGCUUUAUAUCACCCAUAACUAAUCUGCAUUUGUUCCAGGCAUUAAUAGACCAAAGUAUGCUGUGGUAUGUGUUGAUGCCAGUAUCUUUUCAUAGCUGUUAACUUCCGCUGCACUCAGAGACAGCAACCAGCACUGCUUGCUUGCACUGACUUUAGAAUUUUGACUGAAUUUGCCAGAGAAGAAACACAACAGUCAAUCACAUUCACCACAUUUCCCUGAUCACCAAAACACAGAUUUCUUUCCAAAAUUUCCAAUACAUUUUUAAUUGACUAUGAUUCUGUUCAAACUUGUUUUUAAAAUAAAGGUCAAAGGUCAGCUACAGUUUAUUCAUAAUAUAAGUGCAUUUCCCCCCAGAAACCAGCAAAUCUGUAGAAUAUGUAGUACUGCAGCAAAAAGUAAAAUUGUGCUGUUGUAUAUAUUACUGCAAAUUUGUUUGUCAUUAACGUUUGAAAGUAUAUUGCUAGUGAAUCAACAGACUGUGAUGAAACCAAAUGUUAUCAGAAAUAAUCAUCUUUGUAAAAAGGAAAAGAAAAUGUCUAAUCCUAUUUGGGCACAAUAAA
rnacentral:lncRNA from 1 species